rnacentral:lncRNA from 1 species
CGCGACCACGCAGCGGUAGCAGAGGAGCACCUUCCUCCGCCUGCUUCUUCUCCAUCGAGCUCCGACCUCAGCACUGCUGGCCUGGAAAGCGUCAAGAUCCUGCGGGGACUCAGAGAUGGGAGAGGAUGCCGGUAGAAAGCAAGAGCAGCUCGACGAAAGGAAGCAGAAGCUCGCUGAUUCCUAGGGUAUACCUGGCGCGGCUGUUAUCUAAGGCGAGGAAGAGGAGUGGUCACGUUUGGCCCCAUCGCCCCUCUGGCGCUGCCCAUCGGAGGAAGGCCCGCUCCUUCCCCAGGUCUUCUACUAGUGUGGCUAAUCUGACGGCAAGCUAGGUGCGUCGCUGCUCCUCCCGUGACGGCAAGGCGGGCCUUUCAUGAGGAUGUACAGAGGAGAAGAAACGAGGAGAUAUGCUCAUGGGUCUGACCACUUCUUGCCAUGACAGGAAUCUCCAACUUCUUCUUCUUUUCCAUC